rnacentral:rRNA from 1 species
GUACAGGAUAGGUGGGAGGCUUUGAAACCAGGACGCCAGUUUUGGCGGAGCCAUCCUUGGGAUACCACCCUUGUAGUACUGGGACUCUAACCAUAGGCCAUGAAUCUGGUCUUGGGACACUGUCAGGUGGGCAGUUUGACUGGGGCGGUCGCCUCCCAAAAGGUAACGGAGGCGCUCAAAGGUUCUCUCAGUACGGUCGGAAAUCGUACGUAGAGUGUAAAGGCAAAAGAGAGCUUGAUUGCAAGACAUACAGGUCGAGCAAGGAUGAAAAUCGGACUUAGUGAUCCGGUGGUUCUGCGUGGAAGGGCCAUCGCUCAACGGAUAAAAGCUACCCUGGGGAUAACAGGCUUAUCUCCCCCAAGAGUCCACAUCGACGGGGAGGUUUGGCACCUCGAUGUCGGCUCAUCACAUCCUGGGGCUGUAGUAGGUCCCAAGGGUUGGGCUGUUCGCCCAUUAAAGUGGUACGCGAGCUGGGUUCAGAACGUCGUGAGACAGUUCGGUCCCUAUCCGUCGCAGGCGUAGGAAAUUUGAGAAGACCUGUCCUUAGUACGAGAGGACCGGGAUGGACGUACCUCUGGUGUACCAGUUGUCCUGCCAAGGGCAUGGCUGGGUAGCUAUGUACGGAAUGGAUAAGCGCUGAAAGCAUCUAAGCGCGAAGCCAACUUCAAGAUAAGAUUUCCCACCGCAAGGGUAAGACCCCAGAAAGACUAUCUGGUUGAUAGGUCGAAGGUGUAAGUGCAGCAAUGUAUUUAGCUUAUCGAUACUAAUAGGUCGAGGACUUGACCAA